CCUACGUGGAGCAGCAGUGAGGAAUAUUGGUCAAUGGGCGCGAGCCUGAACCAGCCAAGUAGCGUGAAGGAUGACUGCCCUACGGGUUGUAAACUCCUUUUAUAAAGGAAUAAAGUGAGGCACGUGUGCCUUUUUGUAUGCACUUUAUGAAUAAGGAUCGGCUAACGCCGUGCCAGCAGCCGCGGUAAUGCGGAGGAUCCGAGCGUUAUCCGGAUUUAUUGGGUUUAAAGGGAGCGUAGAUGGGUUGUUAAGUCAGUCGUGAAAGUUUGCGGCUCAACAGUAAAACUGCAAUUGAUACUGGCAGUCUUGAGUACAGUAGAGGUAGGCGGAAUUCGUGGUGUAGCGGUGAAAUGCUUAGAUAUCACGAAGAACUCCGAUUGCGAAGGCAGCUUACUAAACUGCCACUGACAUUGAUGCUCGAAAGUGUGGGUAUCAAACAGGAUUAGAUACCCCUGUAGUC
rnacentral:rRNA from 1 species